CGCGUAGGUGGGACAGCAAGUCUGGGGUGCAAUCUUACGGCUUAACUGUAAACUUGCCCUGGAUACUACUGUUCUUGAGUUCGGAAGAGGGUAGUGGAAUUCCUGGUGUAGCGGUGAAAUGCGUAGAUAUCAGGAAGAACACCGGUGGCGAAGGCGGCUACCUGGUCCGAUACUGACACUGAGGCGCGAAAGUGCGGGGAGCAAACA
rnacentral:rRNA from 1 species